UGGGGAAUAUUGGGCAAUGGGCGAAAGCCUGACCCAGCAACGCCGCGUGAAGGAAGAAGGUCUUCGGAUUGUAAACUUCUUUUAUCAGGGACGAAGUAAGUGACGGUACCUGAUGAAUAAGCCACGGCUAACUACGUGCCAGCAGCCGCGGUAAUACGUAGGUGGCAAGCGUUAUCCGGAUUUACUGGGUGUAAAGGGCGCGUAGGCGGGAAUGCAAGUCAGAUGUGAAAUCCAAGGGCUCAACCCUUGAACUGCAUUUGAAACUGUAUUUCUUGAGUGUCGGAGAGGUUGACGGAAUUCCUAGUGUAGCGGUGAAAUGCGUAGAUAUUAGGAGGAACACCAGUGGCGAAGGCGGUCAACUGGACGAUAACUGACGCUGAGGCGCGAAAGCGUGGGGAGCAAACAGGAUUAGAUACCCUGGUAGU
rnacentral:rRNA from 1 species